AGCUCCAAUAGCGUAUAUUAAAGUUGCUGCGGUUAAAACGCUCGUAGUUGGAUCUCCUCGGGUCGAGCGGGCGGUCGCGCUGCCUCGUUGCGGCGCGCACUGCUUCACGUGCUCGGUCCCACCCGUCGGUCCCGCGGCUCGCUCUUGACUGAGUGACCGCGGGGUUCCGCACAGUUUACUUUGAAAAAAUUAGAGUGUUCAAAGCAGGGCCGGAGCGCCCGAAUAAUGUUGCAUGGAAUAAUGGAAUAGGACGUCGGUCCGAUCUUGUUGGUUCUGUCCGAUUGACGUAAUGAUCGAGAGGGACGGACGGGGACAUCGGUAUUGCGGCGCGAGAGGUGAAAUUCUUGGACCGUCGCACGACCAACCAAAGCGAAAGCAUUUGUCAAGAACGUUUUCA
rnacentral:rRNA from 1 species